AUGUGUAUUUGCAUGCUUGGUGGAGAUAGUUGUUGCUAUUGCCAUGUUUAUCAUGUGCCCCAUGCUAUUGAUGCUAUUUUGCUCAUAUCUUGCCUUUAUGCUUGUGAAAUGUCAUGUGCAUUAUAUAUGCCAACUAUUUGCACACAUGACAUGCUUGCCAUGAUUCCUUCUAGUACGUUGCAUCUUCGCACUACUAGCUUGCUUGACUUGAUCUCUAUGAUUGCUUGCUUUGUUGCAUCACCCAUGUUCCAUUACUCGCUUUCUUGGGUUGAUGACAUAUAUGCUCAUGCCUCUCACAUGAUAUAUCUUGUUUAUUGUCGCUUGCCUCCAAUAAUUGCCUCUAUGCUUAAUGAUCUUGGAGACUUGGACAUAUUACUUGUGAUGCAUGCUUGUUUGUUUAAGCCUAUUGUCUUUGGUUGUAGCUGCAUCUUAUGCUUCCCUACCAUACCACACCUUGCCCUUUCUUAUGAUAAGAAUGAUGAGAACACUUGUUGGGUAUCUUACCACUCGAAUGAUAGGUGCUACAUUUGCACUAACCUCAUUUGUUUUUCCGAGUGUUUGUCAUGUUCUUUCAUUUUGAAGGAUUCACAAGGCGGUACCAUCACGAGACAUAUUGGUUAUGUGAAGGCGUACAUGAUGUGCAACACCAACAUUUUUGACAUCCUCAUAAAGGUGAACUCAUUCCCUUUGAGCCAUUCUCAAAUAUGCAUAUUGCAUGGGUCAUUCUUUCAUUGUUGUUUCCUUCUUGUUGUCUACAUGUUACAUCUCACGAACGAAAGAGCAACAUUGGAGAUUGGCUCUAUGGACCUUCACAUUGAGGAGUGCUCGCACUUAUUGGAUGCACCUUCCAACCUCCACUCAUUCCACGACAUCGAGUAUUGGUACAUCAACACUCCUUUGACACAUUGCACCCCCACCUUCAUAUUUGUUGAUUGUGCUCAUACAUGUCAUGCUCGAUGGACAUAUCAUACCCAUAGCAAAUUUGCAUCUUAUGCAUGGAUUGACUCACAUUAUGAUUGCCUUGUUGCAUCUUGUAUUUCGAUGACAUCCAUGAUAUAUGAGCUUGUACACUUCCUUAGCAAAUUUGUUGUGAUCUUUCUUGAUGGCAUAUUCAUACAUCAUGAUCAUAUUGCCUACCAUCAAUUGCAUGAUAACUUAUUCAUAUUGAGCAUCCAUUGCCAUAUUCAUGCUAUUGAUAAACCGUCUCACUAUCACAUCAUUUUGCAUCGUGGUUGCAUUCAUCAUAUUAACAACACAUUUGUGUGCACAAUGUAUGAUUUUUCUCUCAUGAACGCUUUGCAUAUCAUUCUCUAUCAUCUGGAUAAGCUUCAUAUGUUUUGUCACGAACAAUCUUGCCGCAGGGACUCAUUCUUACAUGAUGGACACUUUGUGUGCGCUAACCAUUGUAUUUCCGAGUGUCGUUUGUGUUUGCUCUCUUUGCAUGUAUACCACUCCGGAGACACCUUGGAGUACUUGGAUUGCGCCAUGACUUCCACUCCGUCCAAUUACAAGUCCGUCCACGACAACCGUUUCCAUGGUGAUGAGGAUUUCGAUCCGAGGUCGGAUCUUUCCCAAGGGAGGGGAGAUAAUGCGGAGCAUCCGACGAUCAUCCCCAUGUACACUCGAGCCUACGCCAUUGGACCUAAGUUUCAUGUGGCAAAUGACGCACGGAGGACAACGGUCACGAGCGCAUUGUCGCAAGCUCAUGGGAGGGAGGCACACAUCUCAUCCAGUGGAAAAGCACGCUCCAAAAAAUCUCUAACCCUCCAUGGAGCCAUUGCUAGGGGGCGAAGAGAUCAACGCCACCCACUAGCCACCCGAGAUGUAGAAGUGCGGAGAUUUCUUGCCUGGCGUACAACAAUGCGUGUUCAAUGGGUCGCCUCUUCUCACGCACAAGUCUCAGAGGGAGACAACGACAGCUAUUCAGAAUAA
rnacentral:rRNA from 1 species